ensembl:lncRNA
UUAAUAUGGAGAUGCAGUUGAUAGUCCUGAUUGUCCUACACUUGUCCUCCACUAUGACCAGAGUGGUCAAACCUGGGGAGACUGUCUGUAUGUCCUGUAACGUACCUAUGAAGACCUCGACAACGUGGUACGGACAAGAGAGCAACAAGACGCCCUUUGUCAUCAUAUCGGCCAAACAAUAUGACGUUAACCAAAAGGAAGUUCUAAAUAAAUUCCUCCAUGGCAACAACAAUGCAUUCAGCACAAAGUUAGAGGACAAUGGCUCCAUCAGUCUGACCAUCAGCAACAUUAAUGAGUCUUUGCUAGGAUUCUACUUUUGUACUUCAGGAAUCGACAAAGAACUUACAGUUGGAUCCGGUUACAUUCUUGAAUAUGAGAAGGGCAGUGUUUCACCUAAAAGAGAUGAUGAUGGUCCUCCUGAGUCUUCAGAAUGUCAUGCUGGGUGUUCAGGGCAGUGCUGGGUGCUGAUGGCCAUUUUGUGUCCUCUCAGUGCUGCUUUAGUGGGACUGUUGGCCUUUAUUCUUACCUGGAUCCUUCACAGAAAAGGAAACAAUGAAUCAGAGAGUAUAAAAACAGACCAGGGACACAGCAACAAUGUACAGGGAGGGGCAGAGGGAGUUCUUUACAGUUCCUUGAAUUUCUCAAAGGAAGAUCACCGUG